rnacentral:rRNA from 1 species
UACGUAGGGGGCAAGCGUUGUCCGGAAUCAUUGGGCGUAAAGAGCGUGUAGGCGGCCAGAAAAGUCCGCUGUGAAAACUCGAGGCUCAACUUCGAGCUGUCGGUGGAAACUUUCUGGCUAGAGUCCGGAAGAGGCGAGUGGAAUUCCUGGUGUAGCGGUGGAAUGCGCAGAUAUCAGGAGGAACACCAAUAGCGAAGGCAGCUCGCUGGGACGGUACUGACGCUAAGGCGCGAAAGCGUGGGGAGCGAACAGG